CCUGUUGUAAUUUGCUCUUGUCUUUGUUUGGUGUGAAACCUUUACCCAGAAAUGACUAAUCUAUAUUGAGGUCAAGGCUACCUCUAAUAGGGAAUUCUGCUCUGUUCCAACAUAGGACAUGCCAGCUGCAGGAGAUACAGGAAAAAGCUGCUCAUUUUUAGGAGACUGAAAUGAAUUUGUCAACACUUUUUGGAUGAAAGAAGAAACACAAAAUGCCUUGCUCAACACGAUGGUGAAAGGCAAAUUGGAGUGUGGACUUUGCAGCUAAUUACCCUUAUCCUGAUCCCAGAAAGUUGACUGCUUUCUCAAUAACUUGCAGGUGACUUUUUUUUUUUUUUCUGACAGUUCUGUUCUGUGUUUAAACCAAAAAGGCAGAUCACCCAUUUGUAUUGAAUUAUGCAUGACAGU